UUUCCUCUGUGAAUUUUUCUAUCCCAUGACCUCUGAGGUAGCUCACGUGUUUGUGUGCUUGGAGGUUACUAUUGCAUCAAAUGCUUUCCCGCAUGACACCAUCCCACUACCAACUGCUCCCAUUAGCCUUCCAACUCACCUCCGUUAUCUGCAAGACUAUCUGCCCACUUCGGCAGUCACACAUCUGCUAGCUGAUCUCCUGAAAAUGCAGUUUGACCACGUUCAUUCCAAAACUACAGGACAUCCACCACGUGCCAGAUUCUCUGAGCUGAUGAUGACCAGCAGUCAAGAUCAAAAUCAUC
rnacentral:lncRNA from 1 species